GAACAACGUUCCUAAAUUUUAGAGUAUGCGCUCAUGCAUCAUAACUGAUAGUAAUUCGGUUUUUUGAGUCGCUGUUGGCAGGAAGUUUGCUGGCUAAUGUCUAUAGAGUUCAUUUGCACUUACUAUCAACCUAUUACGACGAACUAAGAACAAACCAAAGCUGUUAAUAGGUGGCUUGAAACUUAUCAUGUGUAUGAU